ensembl:lncRNA
AUGCAGGUAAAUGUAAGAGAUGCAGGCUCAAUCCUUGGGUCUGGAAGAUCCCCUAGAACAGGAACAGCAACCAACUCCAGUAUUCUUGCCUGGAGACUCCUAUGGACAGAGGAGCCUGGCGAGCUACAGUCCAUGGGGUCGCAAAGAGUUGGACAUGACUGGAGUGACUUAGCACACAAGCAGGUUUGCAUGGAAUCAGGGUUGCCUUCCUGGAAAAGGAGGACUGCAAGCCGGGUUUGGAAGGAUAUAGGCUCCACUGCUGACCUGAUUCCUGGCAUUAGAGCGGGUGCGCUGUGCUGCCCGCCUGCUGGCUCGGUGGGGGAGCCUCCUGCCGGGUGCUGUUCCAGGACCUCCGAGAGUGGCUGUCGCCUCCGAGGGAUCCUACACAAACUGAGCUGGGCCGUGUUCGAGGGAAGGGGAACGCUGUUCAGACUUGAAGCCAACUGGCCCACUUGGGAACUCUCCUUCCCCAUCACCUUGGAAAUUUCCCGCCCGCAGGCCUAUAGGUGGAGGAGGGCAUCCCCACCCCCUGAAAGGCUUUUCUGAGAAAGAGCCAGGGACAGCCAGCUGUCUGCACGAUGAGAAUGGACACCGCCUCCCGGAUCGUGCAAGUCCAGUCUGUCUCCAUCAGCUGUCCUUGGGCUGAGCGCCAAGGCCACUGGCCCACUGGACCCCUCUCAGAAACUGCACCGCUGUGAGUCCAGCCCUGAAAACGAAGCCCACUGCCUUUCUUUUUUCUUUAAACUGGAAUAUAAUUGCUUUACAAUGUUGCAUUAUUUUCUGCUGUACAACAAUGUAAAUCAGCCACACGGAUACAUAUAUCCCCUUCCUCUUGAGCCUCCCUUCUACCCCGCCAUCCCAUCCCUCUAGGUCAUCACAGAGCACCGAGCUGAGCUCCCUGGGCUAUACGGCAGCUUCCUCAGUUCAGUUCAGUUCAGUUCAGUCGCUCAGUCGUGUCCGACUCUUUGCGACCCCAUGAAUCGCAGCACGCCAGGCCUCCCUGUCCACCACCAACUCCCGGAGUUCACCCAGACUCACGUCCAUCGAGUCAGUGAUGCCAUCCAGCCAUCUCAUCCUCUGUCGUCCCCUUCUCCUCCUGCCCCUAAUCCCUCCCAGCAUCAGAGUCUUUUCCAAUGAGUCAACUCUUCGCAUGAGGUGGCCAAAGUACUGGAGUUUCAGCUUUAGCAUCAGUCCUUCCAAAGAAAUCCCAGGGCUGAUCUCCUUCAGAAUGGACUGGUUGGAUCUCCUUGCAGUUUCCUGCUUGCCAUUUAUUUUACACAUGGUAGUGUAUAUAUGGGCCUUCCCUGGUGGCUCAGAUGGUAAAAAAUCUGCCUGCAAUGCUGGAGAUGCGGGAUCAAUCUCUGGGUUGGGAAGAUUCCCCAUGGGCAGAGGAGCCUGGCGGGCUACAGUCCAUGGGGUCGCAAAGAGUCGGACACGACUGAGCGACUAACGCUUUCUUUAGUGCAUAUACGUCAAGACUCCUCUCUCAAUCCGUCCCACCCUCUCCUUCCCCCGCUGUGUCCACAAGCACAUCCUCUCCGUCUGCACCUCUAUUCCUCUCCUGCAAAAAGGUUGAUCAGAACCAUUUUUCUAGAUUCCAUAUGCAAACCUUUAUAUGUGCUGCCUUUCUUUUAAAAGCAAUAGUAGGGACUUUCCUGGCAGUCCAGCGGUUAAAACUCUGUACUUCCAUUGCAGGGGGUACGGAUUCCAUCCUGGUCACGGAACUAAGAUCCCACAUGCCAAGUGACGCGGUUAAAAAUAAUAAAUAAAUAACAGUCAUGGAUAAACA